AAACAACCGAAAAUGAAGCUACAAGUUGUUUUCAACUUCAAACGAGUCUGGAAUGAAGCUACAAGUUGUUUCCAACUACAAUCUAGCCAAUAAUGAAGCAACAAGUUGUUUACAAGCUUAAACGAGUCAAGAAUGAAACUAAAAGUUGAUUCUAAUUUUAAACAACCGAAAAUGAAGCUACAAGUUGUUUUCAACUUCAA
rnacentral:lncRNA from 1 species